rnacentral:lncRNA from 1 species
UUGUCUUGAGGGAGGAGGUGCUACAAAAAAAUAUUACUUGCUUUCAUUUUGUUUUUCUUUGCUUCUUUUUUUUUUGCUUUUUUAGAUCGCCGCUUUUUUCAAAUUGUUGUAAUCACAACCUUAGCCGGACUCGGAAGUAACCAAUCUCCAACCCACGCCCCAAGCCUUAGAAAGGUUGGGAAGAUGGCGAACAAUAAGGGUUGCCCAGCGUGUAUAGGCCAUAACCGAAC